rnacentral:lncRNA from 1 species
AUAGUGUUCUAAGAACGAAGUUUUUAGAGCAGCCUGGGCCUCAGGGAGGAAGGCAGGGGCUCCUUCUCUGAGAGAGUGAGUUGGGGGAACAAGGAGGGAGGGCUUCCCAUGGCCCUGAUUUCAGGAUGUUGACUUGGGCUUGAAGAAUGGAGAUAAAACUUGCGGGAAGUAACAGGCUUAAGCCACUCUCCCCUCAUUUCCUACUUCUGUCUCUUCCUCUAGGUACAGCUGUUGGGAGCUGCCUCUCAUGCCCUCAAUCUCCCUGCCUGUGGUUCAGAGGGAAGAAGAGGGGAAAAAAGGAUGAAGAGAAUUAUCUCAGUGCUGGUGAAGGAGGUCCCUGAGCACCAUCUCUGCUGUGGCACGACCUUCUUCAAAAUGCUGGAAGGAAGAAGGACUGGCUCCUGGACCAAGGAGAUUUGGAAUUAGAAAGGACUUCCAAAUUCCAGUUCUACAGACUUCCUUCCCAUCAGCCUCUGCAUGUGCAUCAAAUGUAAAUGGCAGGCUAAACCUACCAGAUGAAGAGAGUUGAAGGACUGGGACCUAAAAAUACCCUUGUCCAAAUGUGUGGGUAAAGGAGCAUACUGAAAAGUAGCUACUCAGCCCGGCGGUGUGGCACAUGCGGGCAGUCUCACAUAUUUUGGGAGGCUGAAGUGGGAGAACUACUUGAGCCCAGGAGUUUGAUUGAGGCUUCAGUGAACUAUGAUGGUGCCAUGACACUCCACCCUGGGCAACAGAGCUGGACCCCACUUCGAAAAAAAAAAAAAAGUAGUUACCCAGGUAAGGUGGAUGGCACCAAACUCUCUCCCUUACCUGGACCAUUUCCGGUCCCAAGAGGAGGAUCAGUUAGGCGGAUGACCCAAGUUACCCAGAUCAUUAACUGUGGAAGCACGGGAUUUUUUUUUUAAUGCCAUUCCUUUGGCCUCUAAAUAUGAGAGAUCUUUACAUCUCUUCCUUAGCUCCCUCCUAUUCUCUACCCUCUCCCCAACACCCAAGCAAAUCCUAGCAACAAAAACUCCUAAAUAUAGGACAAACCUUCAUGACCUACCAUUUUGGCCCACCUGCAACCCCGGUCCCCCGGCCCCCCCCGGCCCGCAUUUUUUUUUCUCUCCUGAGCCUCUACUCUUCGAUUCUAAAAAAAAAGAAAAAAAAAAAAAAAAACGAAGAAGAAGGAAUUUUCAAUAGUCCCACUUGUCAAGCGAAGACCAUCUUUUAACCUUCAACAGCAGCGAAAGCCGUGUGAACUCUCGGUGAACCAAGAUUGAAGUCAUAAAUCACGCGUACAAAGGCGGCUGCGGAGGCUGGCGCGGGCUGCUGCACCUUUAACGCUUUCUGGGGCUGACAGGCGGCGGCCCAGCUAAAGUUCACAGCGCCCGGGGAGGGCCCGCCCCCGCCUCCCGGCCCGCCCCCGCCUCCCCUCCCCCAGUUCGGCCCCGGCCCCGGCUCCCGCCCCCGGCCCGGCCCGCCGCUCCGCAGCCGAAGCUACGCACGGAGGAGGCCCCUUAGCUCUUCCCGCAAAGGGCGGGGGGCGCAUUUUUUCUCCUGCCAGCCCGCUCCAUCCGGGUCGUUUAUUCCCUGCCUCCCCUCACCCCUCAUCCCCACAGCCUGCUGUAUGUAAAUAGGCAAAUAGAUCUACACGGACACAAUAAUUUAGCUUGUUUGGUCUUUGGCAUUUUCUACAAGACCCCAAGAGAUGGACUUUUCUCUCCCCUUCCUCCGUUUAGAACUGGCAUCCUUCAUCUCUGUCCAUGCAGGCCCAAUUAUCCAGAUCCUUGGGGCUCCAAUAGGGUCUGAGUCAUAGGAACCAGAACACCUGGGUGAAACAUGCCACAUAAUUAGAUUUUCUUUUUCUUUUCGUUCUUUUUUUUUUUUUUAAUUUUUUUUUUUC